rnacentral:lncRNA from 1 species
UAGAUUGUUUAUUUAAUUAUUUAUUAAUAGUUAGUAAGAUAUUAUUGAUAAAAUGUGUUUUGAAUACUUUGUAUUUAUUGUUAAUAUUUGUAAUGAAAUUAGGAUGAACUUGUUGAAAAAAAUUAUUACAUUUAUGAAGCCCAAUGGGCUAAAAAUUUGAAAAUUCAAAAUAGGCCCAGAACCGAAAAAACCGAACCGAACCGAACCGAACCGAAAAGAACCGUUUGAGUUCGGUUCUUUUUGAGU